GUGGGGAAUAGUCUUUUCAAAAAGUGGGAGAAUAAGUUCAGAGGGUGGAGGGAGGAACAGUAGUGGAUAGGGCCUUGAUGGAUUGUGUAUUAAUUGAUAAGAGAGUGGUAGGAAGGUUGGUGGAUGUACAUGUAAAGAGAGAUGAAUGUGGAGGAG